rnacentral:misc_RNA from 1 species
UCCGGUUUGUCACCGGCAGUCUCCUAUGAGUCCCCGACAUUACUCGCUGGCAACAUAGAACAGGGGUUGCGCUCGUUGCGGGACUUAAGCCAACACCUCACGGCACGAGCUGACGACAGCCAUGCAGCACCUGUGCUAGCCCUAUAACGACACGGGCUUUCACCCGCUUUAACUAGCAUGUCAAACCCAGGUAAGGUUCUUCGCGUUGCAUCGAAUUAAGCCACAUGCUCCGCCGCUUGUGCGGGCCCCCGUCAAUUCCUUUGAGUUUCAACCUUGCGGUCGUACUCCCCAGGCGGAGUGCUUAAUGCGUUAGCUGCAGCACUAAAGGGCGGAAACCCUCUAACACUUAGCACUCAUCGUUUACGGCGUGGACUAC